UACGAGGGGGGCAAAUGUUGUUCGGAAUCCCUGGGCGUCAAGGGAGCGUAGGCGGGCUUCUAAGUUAGGUGUUUAAUCCCAGGGCCCAACCCUGGUCAGGCACCUAAAACUGGGAGUCUUGAAUAGUGGAGAGGACGAUGGAAUUGGGGGUGUAGCGGUGGAAUGCGUAGAGAUCCCCAAGAACACCAGUUGCGAAGGCGGUCGUCUGGACACAUAUUGACGCUGAGGCUCGAAAGCAUGGGGAGCAAACAGG
rnacentral:rRNA from 1 species